GGAAGUAAAAGUCGUAACAAGGUCUCCGUUGGUGAACCAGCGGAGGGAUCAUUAUAGAGUUUUCUAAACUCCCAACCCAUGUGAACUUACCUUUUGUUGCCUCGGCAGAAGUUAUAGGUCUUCUUAUAGCUGCUGCCGGUGGACCAUUAAACUCUUGUUAUUUUAUGUAAUCUGAGCGUCUUAUUUUAAUAAGUCAAAACUUUCAACAACGGAUCUCUUGGUUCUGGCAUCGAUGAAGAACGCAGCGAAAUGCGAUAAGUAAUGUGAAUUGCAGAAUUCAGUGAAUCAUCGAAUCUUUGAACGCACAUUGCGCCCAUUAGUAUUCUAGUGGGCAUGCCUGUUCGAGCGUCAUUUCAACCCUUAAGCCUAGCUUAGUGUUGGGAAUCUACUUCUCUUAGGAGUUGUAGUUCCUGAAAUACAACGGCGGAUUUGUAGUAUCCUCUGAGCGUAGUAAUUUUUUUCUCGCUUUUGUUAGGUGCUAUAACUCCCAGCCGCUAAACCCCCAAUUUUUUGUGGUUGACCUCGGAUCAGGUAGGAAUACCCGCUGAACUUAAGCAUAUCAAUAAGCGGAGGA
rnacentral:rRNA from 5 species